GACGAACGCUGGCGGCGUGCUUAACACAUGCAAGUCGUACGGUAAGGCCCUUUCGGGGGUCCACGAGUGGCGAACGGGUGAGUAACACGUGAGUAACCUGCCCACAACUUUGGGAUAACGCUAGGAAACUGGUGCUAAUACUGGAUAUGUGCUCCUGCUGCAUGGUGGGGGUUGGAAAGCUCCGGCGGUUAUGGAUGGACUCGCGGCCUAUCAGCUUGUUGGUGGGGUAGUGGCCUACCAAGGCGGCGACGGGUAGCCGGCCUGAGAGGGUGACCGGCCACAUUGGGACUGAGAUACGGCCCAGACUCCUACGGGAGGCAGCAGUGGGGAAUAUUGCACAAUGGGCGCAAGCCUGAUGCAGCAACGCCGCGUGCGGGAGGACGGCCUUCGGGUUGUAAACCGCUUUCAGCAGGGACGAAGCUUUUUGUGACGGUACCUGCAGAAGAAGCACCGGCUAACUACGUG
rnacentral:rRNA from 1 species